rnacentral:rRNA from 1 species
UACGUAGGGGGCAAGCGUUAUCCGGAUUUACUGGGUGUAAAGGGAGCGUAGACGGCGAUGCAAGCCAGAUGUGAAAGCCCGGGGCUCAACCCCGGGACUGCAUUUGGAACUGCGUGGCUGGAGUGUCGGAGAGGCAAGUGGAAUUCCUAGUGUAGCGGUGAAAUGCGUAGAUAUUAGGAGGAACACCAGUGGCGAAGGCGGCUUGCUGGACGAUGACUGACGUUGAGGCUCGAAAGCGUGGGGAGCAAACAGG